rnacentral:lncRNA from 1 species
UGACAACUCAACCUUUCGCACAACCAUUGACGAGCGUCUCUCAAAGCUACAAGAAGAUUUGGCUGCCGAAAACUCUCUCGAGUCAACUUUCCCGUAUGAGCAUUCGGUACAUGUAUCAGUCCGUGGAAGAGUGAAAGGGUUAUCACUAUUGAGGAUCUCCCCCCUAAUCUUAGAUAGGUCGUCUGGGGGUUCGCCGCGGUUCAUUGCUGUGCUUACACACUAGGCUACCCUUUUCCGAAAGCUCCGCGGGACCACCUACCACUAGUCUUCGGCCGGAGGGGUUUAUUGCACAAAAACGCCGGGACGCAGGCUCCCGAAAAGGGAAGCCCAACGAAUGUCAGAUGCAAAGCCCCGCACCUCAUUAAGAUCAUAUUGGCAUACUCUCCCAAAAAAGAAAGAGCAGACCCCAUUGAAGAGGAUGUUCUUGCCAAGAAGACCACUGCUCUGAAGGUCAAGAGCGUUCAACUCUCCAACUCUCAACAGGAGAUUGACUCUCUUCGGUCCGAAAGGGAGGUGAUAAUGUCAUGUGUUUCGGAUGUCCACUCUACCAUCUCCAACAACCUCGAAGCACAUGAUCCUAUUAUUAACUAUACUAUGAGGCGUGACCUUGCAGAGAAGCUCGCUCCCGCCCUUGCCCUGCUCAGCAAACUCAAAGGGCUACUUGAUUUCGUGUCCAUUCCGAAACAAGGGGGAGAGAAGGAAUCUAUGUCCCAACCACCUCCUUCCUCAAAGGCAACUCACACUACCGAACCUCCUCCAGUAGGCCAAGCCUCCGGUUCUGGUGUGAAAGAAAAAGGCAAAAAGGUUGCUGAGGAAGAAGAAGAAGAAGACGAAGAAACGAUCGCCGACUUGUUGAAGCGUAGAAGUCGACGCAAUGAGGCUGAUAUCAGUGCUCGUGUGGCAAGAGAGGCUGAAGAAGCCGAACGUAAACAGAAGGAAGCCCACGACCUUCUUGAGAGUAGGAAAACUCUUUUUCUUACCUGGACUCUUGAGAGGAUGAUAAAAGAAGCCAUUGACACACCGAGUAUCUUGUAGCUGGAACCUGUAAUCUCUCUUGAUUGUUCCAACACUGUCGACUCACAGUUCGACAUGCCACUGACCCGAAAGGCGUUCAUCUUUCAUGCCUUCUCCAACGUUGCAGAGUUCCCUCAUCCUCAUCCACAGGUUGAUCGGGACUUAAUCAAUUUUUAUCUGAAGGCUGCUCAACCUCAGUAUUAGACUUGGAGCGCUCAGAAAAUUUUCAACGUUCGGGUCUUGAAGCCGUUUAGUGAAGGGAACUUCAUCAACAUUCGGUUCAAGGAACUUCGGGGAUCUGCCAAAACCGAACAUGCUAUUUCCCUUGCAGAUCUUCCAAACCUUAAUCCCCAUGAUUGGAUCAUCUUGCACAACAUCCUACUCACCAACGAAGCUGAAUACGGUCCGAUCAUCGACCAUUUGAAGAGGAUGCUCGUGUGCUACAUCAUGGAAGUUGCACUGAUGGAUCAGGAGAUUGCAAGCGUAUUUAAGAAGAAACCAACAAUAUCUCCUGUUGGCUCUGCCAGUGAUCUCAAUAAAAUGUAGAUGGGUAAAAUUGACUCGAGAAGGAAUUCGGUCAUGUUCACGAGGAACGAAGGACAAAAAUGUCUUUUCGCCUUGGCUGACAAACACCUCUACACGACUGCUUGUUUAGAGCACGUUUUGGGGAUCAUCCACAGAUGCAAGCAGAACACUGUGGAUGAUGUCAAGUACUUCGAUGACAUGAUUCAAUGGUACAUUCGGUUCAGACAGACUAUUCUCGCUCUUAUCACACGUUUGUUUGAUACUGUUAAGAUGGCUCCCGCUGCUGGACCGAAGAAGAAGUAGUCUCGCUCCAAUUUGACGCAAAGGGGGAGAUUGUUGGGUCGCGUUUUGUAUAAUAUGUUGCGUUUAUUGGGCUCGUUAGCUAGUCCAUUUUUGUAUCUCCGGUAUGGGCCUGUCCAUCCGUGAGUUUAGUAGGGUUGAGUAUAAAUAUAGGUGCUUGCAUGCAUCUUAGUAAAACGAUAGAAUAGAACGAUUAGAUCAUUAUUCAGAAGUUUAUUAUUAUCGUUCUUGUAACCCUAAAUCCUCUACGGCGGAAGUUCUUAGUCGAGCUCUGCUGAGGAUUGGUUGAUCUAAUCAUUCGACAUAUUUUGAUCCACACUUGUCUUAUUUAUUGUUUUGUGUUCAUCGCAAUACCUGUUUCAAAGAUCUAAUCGAUCCUCACGUUUGUUUUUAUAUCCUAUCAAUAUCAAGAAUGUCGAAGAAGAUUCGAUCGACAGACUUGUCAUAGUGGGCUGUAGAGAAGAUUUGCGACAGAUACUCCAUUGGAACAGGUUCGACUUUGGUGAGAGCUGGAACCAGUGGAGAAUGCUUGAGACAUUCCACGAUUGGAAACAUGAAAGCAUCGUAAACGUGUGGAGUGAGAUCGAUAAUCAGGCUUUGUUGAGGACGAAUUGGCAGAACGUGAGAAGUAUCAUGAACUGAAGAUGAGUCCGCCAUUGAAGAGAAGAAUUUGGGGAAGAUGAUGAACAGUAGGAGAAACAAAUCUUUUCUUGCUCUCUGAAUAUUUGGUGCAGUAAAGAGGUAAAUAACGGUAGAUGUUACCUUUUAUACCGUGGUGAGAAGAGAGAGAAAAAUUUGUUCCCAAAUCUUCAAAGAAAAGACGAAGCGUUUCCUUAGGUGAUUGACGCGUGACAGUUUAGAGCCCCGAUGAUUACGCAGGAGAGAGAAAGACUGUCCCGUUUCACACGCGUUCCCAUCAGGCGCCGUUUGAAAUGUCAAAAACGGUUCCGCUUCACAUGCCUUCCCAUCAAGCGCCAUUUGAAAUAUCAAUGUGAUUAGACUUUCGGCUGAGUCAACAACUUAUCCCUUUAGAGUGAGCUGUCGUCAUAGAGCAAAAUGACCACGUGUAACAUUGUGAGCCACAUCUCUUUUAUAACCUUAAAUCCCAUAGCCAAAAAUAGCUUGUAAUUAACGAAACCAGAUUUAUGGAAAAUCAAAAAGAUUUUCGUGCAUAGAGUGUAAAAGAAAAAGAAAUAAAGCAACACAUAUGUGGGAAAUUGUGAUGUCAAUAAAGACACGAAACAAUGGAUCCCGGGCACGAAUCUCUUCCUUCAAAGUCAAGAGAGACCUUAAAGUGUUUGUGUGGUUUCCCGUUGAAUUACGAUCAGACACUUAUUAAGAAGUGUUGAAAGGCAUCUUUUAAUAAGGCUAAUUUGGGAGGCUUUCGCUUCAGUUCAGAAUUCCUGAUCUUGACAUAAGACAGAAAUCGACUGAAGUACUUGUGAGACCAAUGUGGUCUGUUGAACAAGUAGGUGUGAAGAGAAUUUAAGUGGCAUGUUGAAAAUACUUUUAGGUGAAAUCUCAGAGAAAAAAAAUUGAAACUGGAUUCUAAGGGAAGAAAUGUUAUGGGAUUUAACAAUUUCAUAAGAAUCACACAAAAAGAAAAUUCAGAGAUUUCAAGGUACAGCCCCAUGGGUGAAUUCGUUAAUUCAUUAGUGAAAACUAGAGCAAAUUUAAUUGUUCACCGUCAAUGCAUAGUAGGUAUUGAAUUGUGGGUUUCACUUAGCACGUAGUGGCACGAAGCUAAGAUCAUAAACACAGAAAUUGUGUAACCAUAAACCUCAGUGGUAAUUGCUGAGAGUCUCAAGGGUUACGUGUAUGAAGCGAAUAGGAUGGAGAAAAAUAUUGGAGAUGGUGUAAAGAAACCAAAGUACCUCUGCUGUUAAAAUAAGGACCAAGCAGAAAACUCUUAUCUCAUGUGAGAAGAGAGUAAGGUAGCUCAUGAUUAGAAUAAAUAUAAAAGCCUAAUUGGGAAGACAAGGUUUGUAUAUACCAAGUCAGUAAGGCUAUUAUUCAGAAUCAGUUGAGGCUUUGGACAACAUACAGCAGCAUGCUUCUAGGGACACUUAACUAUUAAAAGAUGUGAGAACAAUACCUGCCCCAUUGAUUAUCCACAAAUGAUAAAAAUAAAAAAAAAUUAACGAAUAGAAAAAAAUAUUUUUGGAGUUUUUUAUUCAAAGAGAAAAACAAAAAUAAAACAAACAAAAAA